rnacentral:rRNA from 1 species
GAUGAACGCUGACAGAAUGCUUAACACAUGCAAGUCAACUUGAAUUUGGGUCUUUUGACUUAGAUUUGGGUGGCGGACGGGUGAGUAACGCGUAAAGAACUUGCCUCACAGUUAGGGACAACAUUUGGAAACGAAUGCUAAUACCUGAUAUUAUGAUUUUAAGGCAUCUUAGAAUUAUGAAAGCUAUACGCGCUGUGAAAGAGCUUUGCGUCCCAUUAGCUAGUUGGAGAGGUAACGGCUCACCAAGGCGAUGAUGGGUAGCCGGCCUGAGAGGGUGAACGGCCACAAGGGGACUGAGACACGGCCCUUACUCCUACGGGAGGCAGCAGUGGGGAAUAUUGGACAAUGGACCAAGAGUCUGAUCCAGCAAUUCUGUGUGCACGAUGACGUUUUUCGGAAUGUAAAGUGCUUUCAGUUGGGAAGAAAAAAAUGACGGUACCAACAGAAGAAGUGACGGCUAAAUACGUGCCAGCAGCCGCGGUAAUACGUAUGUCACGAGCGUUAUCCGGAUUUAUUGGGCGUAAAGCGCGUCUAGGUGGUUAUGUAAGUCUGAUGUGAAAAUGCAGGGCUCAACUCUGUAUUGCGUUGGAAACUGUGUAACUAGAGUACUGGAGAGGUAAGCGGAACUACAAGUGUAGAGGUGAAAUUCGUAGAUAUUUGUAGGAAUGCCGAUGGGGAAGCCAGCUUACUGGACAGAUACUGACGCUGAAGCGCGAAAGCGUGGGUAGCAAACAGGAUUAGAUACCCUGGUAGUCCACGCCGUAAACGAUGAUUACUAGGUGUUGGGGGUCGAACCUCAGCGCCCAAGCAAACGCGAUAAGUAAUCCGCCUGGGGAGUACGUACGCAAGUAUGAAACUCAAAGGAAUGGACGGGGACCCGCACAAGCGGUGGAGCAUGUGGUUUAAUUCGACGCAACGCGAGGAACCUACCAGCGUUUGACAUCUUAGGAAAGAGACAGAGAUGUCUCAGUGUCCUGCGGGGG